UACGGGGGGGGCAAGCGUUGUUCGGAAUUACUGGGCGUAAAGGGCUCGUAGGCGGCCAACUAAGUCAGACGUGAAAUCCCCAGGCUCAACCUGGGAACUGCGUCUGAUACUGGAUGGCUUGAAUCCGGGAGAGGGAUGCAGAAUUCCAGGUGUAGCGGUGAAAUGCGUAGAUAUCUGGAGCAAUACCGGUGGCGAAGGCGGCAUCCUGGACCGGCAUUGACGCUGAGGAGCGAAAGCCAGGGGAGCAAACGGG
rnacentral:rRNA from 1 species